rnacentral:rRNA from 1 species
UACGUAGGGGGCAAGCGUUGUCCGGAUUCAUUGGGCGUAAAGAGCUCGUAGGCGGUGUGUCGCGUCGGCCGUGAAAACCUGGGGCUUAACUCUGGGCGUGCGGUCGAUACGGGCAUCACUAGAGUUCGGCAGGGGAGACUGGAAUUCCUGGUGUAGCGGUGAAAUGCGCAGAUAAUCAGGAGGAACACCGGUGGCGAAGGCGGGUCUCUGGGCCGAUGACUGACGCUGAGGAGCGAAAGCAUGGGUAGCGAACAGG